rfam:Felis catus breed Abyssinian Contig38687.1, whole genome shotgun sequence. [26-MAY-2016]
CAGGAUCCACAUACCACCCUGAAGGCACCCGAUCUCAUCUGACCUCGGAGGCUAAGCAGGGUCGGGCCUGGUUAGUACUUGGAUAGGUGGUCCAUGUUUGUUUUGU